rnacentral:rRNA from 1 species
GACGAACGCUGGCGGCGCGCCUAACACAUGCAAGUCGAGCGAUGAAAUACAUUUGGAAAACUUCGGUUAGAAGAAUGUAUGGAUUAGCGGCGGACGGGUGAGUAACACGUGAGUAACCUGCCGUAUACAUGGGGAUAGCCUCGGGAAACUGGGAUUAAUACCCAAUGAUAUUACAUUUUCGCAUGAAGAAGUAAUUAAAGUGAUAGCGGUAUACGAUGGACUCGCGACCCAUUAGCUAGUUGGUGAGAUAACAGCUCACCAAGGCGACGAUGGGUAGCCGGCCUGAGAGGGUGAACGGCCACAUUGGAACUGAGACACGGUCCAAACUCCUACGGGAGGCAGCAGUGGGGAAUAUUGCACAAUGGGGGAAACCCUGAUGCAGCGACGCCGCGUGAGCGAUGAAGGCCUUCGGGUCGUAAAGCUCUGUCCUAUGGGAAGAUAAUGACGGUACCAUAGGAGGAAGCCCCGGCUAACUACGUGCCAGCAGCCGCCGUAAAAC